rnacentral:rRNA from 1 species
CCCGGGCGGCACGGGUGGAGUAACACGUAUCCAACCUGCCGUCUACUCUUGGACAGCCUUCUGAAAGGAAGAUUAAUACAAGAUGGCAUCAUGGGUCCGCAUGUUCACAUGAUUAAAGGUAUUCCGGUAGACGAUGGGGAUGCGUUCCAUUAGAUAGUAGGCGGGGUAACGGCCCACCUAGUCUUCGAUGGAUAGGGGUUCUGAGAGGAAGGUCCCCCACAUUGGAACUGAGACACGGUCCAA